CAAUAGCGUAUAUUAAAGUUGUUGCAGUUAAAAAGCUCGUAGUUGGAUUUCUGGUGGGAGCGAUCGGUCUGGCGCUUAGCGCGAGUACUUGCAUCGUCUCCGGCCAUCCUUGGGGAGAGUCUGUCUGGCAUUAGGUUGUCGGGCAGAGGAUCCUCAUCGUUUACUGUGAAAAAAUUAGAGUGUUCAAAGCAGGCUUAUGCCGUUGAAUAUAUUAGCAUGGAAUAAUGAGAUAGGACUUUUUUGCUAUUUUGUUGGUUUGCGCAAAGAGGUAAUGAUUAAUAGGGACAGUUGGGGGUAUUCGUAUUCCAUUGUCAGAGGUGAAAUUCUUGGAUUUUUGGAAGACGAACUACUGCGAAAGCAUUUACCAAGGAUGUUUUCAUUAA
rnacentral:rRNA from 1 species